rnacentral:rRNA from 1 species
UACGUAGGGGGCAAGCGUUGUCCGGAAUCAUUGGGCGUAAAGCGCGUGUAGGCGGCCCGGUAAGUCCGCUGUGAAAGUCCAGGGCUCAACCCUGGAAUGCCGGUGGAUACUGUCGGGCUCGAGUCCGGAAGAGGCGAGUGGAAUUCCUGGUGUAGCGGUGAAAUGCGUAGAGAUCGGCAGGAACACCCAGGGGGAAACCAGUCGACUGGGCAUCUACUGACGCUGAGGUGCGAGAGCGUGGGGAGCGAACCGGG